GGCGCCCUACUGCGCAUGCUGCCGCCUGCACCUCAUCUGCGUUAACUUCAGGAUUUGUAUUACUCGUAGCAUUACUUUUAUGGUGACUUACUUAGAUCUUUGUGGAUUAUGGUGGCUUAUCUGGAUUACUUUAAGUGGAUUUGGUGGUUUAAGGGGCUGUAUUUAAUUUGCAAGAGGAAAAAGACGUCGAUAAUUCGCGACAUCCUCUUGUUAUCUCAGAGCACCCUGCUAUGAAGCAGCAGUGCAGCGGGAAUCCACAUGUGCUACGGGACUCCAUCAGACACUGCAAGGUUGCUGUAGGACUCCAUAGGAUGCAACAGAGAACCUGCAGGACUGUGGGGCACGCAGGGGCACCCAGGAGCCUCCCCACGAUCCCCCAGCAACCCCACAGGAACCGUACGCUUUGAUCAAGAAGAAACACUGGACAUAGAAACAAGAUGUAAGAUUAGAUAUGGUUGCUUAGGGAGGCCUUGAAACUGUUGAGACUUGUAUCCAAGAUAUACAUAAUCAUAUAUAUGUGUGUGCUGUUGUGUUGUGUGAAUAUAGUAGACUAAUAGUAGAUGUAGUAGAAGAAGAAGAAUAAAGGACUUUCCUAUGACAGAGGCCUCUGAUUGCUGAACUUCAACAACCAACAGUUCUGCUUUAGGACCCACCUGACUGAAACCAGAUGGGAAGUGGCAAUUAACAAUUGAUUAUCAAUGCCUGAAUGCUCAUAUAGCACCGCUAGCAGCUGCUGUUUUAAACAUUGCCAACGUAACAGCUGUUUUUGUGAGCAGCUGCACAUUCACGGAUGGCAGCCUUUGGUGUACGUGUUCUUUAUGGUUCCCUUCCAGGAAGAGGAUAAAGAAAACUUUGCUUCUGCUUGGGACAAGAUACAAAAUACCUGUAGCAGAUUCCCACAGGUGUGUAAACAUUCUGCCAUGCUUGUUCCUGCUGUGCUUUUACAGAUAGUUUCACUGCCUCAAGAUGUGAAAUUGUAUUGACCACGAAGACCAGCAAAACUGUGCAAAACAGUGUGCACUUAAGUGCAGAAUUUUGCAAACCCCACGUGGACUUCAUGGAACCCCAGCAAAGACAAGCAAUCCCAUACAUUCUUCAGCAAUCCAAGAAGGAACUUCAGCAAUGCAGGGCAAAGACUGGUGAAUCUGGAUAGAAGAGUAAUCAAAAAUCACAAUAACUACAAAAGAACAUGCAAAGCAAGUGAUGUGCAAUGCAAUUGCUCACCACCCACUGAUGAAUUACCAGCCGAUUCCCAACCAGCAGCAGACUGCCGGUCAUCUCCCCCCGGUACGUUAUUCAGCGUGAGGACAUCGAGGACAGGACAUCCCUUUGGCCAGCAUCGUCCCGCUUCUGUCCCCUCGUUGCCAAGGCUGAGGAGGAGCCCAGCUUCUACCGCAGCUCGGGGUGGAUGUGACGCAUGACGGCCGGCCUACUCGAGCACCCGCUGCCCCCGUCACCCCUUCCGCAACACAUCUUCGCAAUGAGCCGCAUCUCCACUGCGCCGGCGGAACGGGGAACCCCGCCGCGGCUCCUCCCCCGUCGCGGCAGAGCGAUCCGCACGUUCCGCAAUGCGCACCGCUGCCUGUCGCGGUCUGAUUACGUCACCGCCAGAAGUGCUGCCGAGUGAUUUUCCGGUGUUGGUCGCUGCUGCUGCCUGCAAAUGAGCAAGCGGAAAGUGCUGCAGGAGAGCCUCAACCAGGGCAUCGCAGACUUCCUCAUGGCUAGGGAAUUACGAGCGCGACGUGAACCGAGGCAUCCACAAGUACGACGCGUACAGAUACCGCCUCCUUCCUCAGGGCUGCUUUUUUCUCUUCCCUGCCGGAGCGCCCCGCCCCCGUCUCUCGGGGGCCCGGCCCGGCCUCGCCGCAGGGCUGAGCGCGCUGCUCUUUUCUGGCCGCUGACCGACGCCGUUCCGCAGGAAAGCAGACUGUCGUUUCUCGGUACCCCAGCAGAAUACGGAGUGAAGCCGAAGCUAAGAAGCUGGUAGGUACCGGGGCGAAUUUGGGCUUCUUAGCGUGGAGGAACUGUGUUAGGAUGGUAUCGAGGUUUCCAGGAGGAAGGAAGCAGUGUACGAAUGACUCUUGCUUGCAUCAGCUUCUGCUGGCAGCCGGCUCAGGGAAGGGCGAGUGGAGCAUAUGGGCUGCAGGGAUUUCAUAGGUGGAACUGGAAACUCCAGCUGGGUCUCUUCUGUGAAAGGCUUCUACUGUGGCAGGUUUCCCCUUUGCUGUGUUACUGUCUCACUAAGUUUGGGAGUUGUAGGAAUCUACAACUGGUUUAAAAUAACUGUUUGCAGGGGACUUGUAAUACAGCACUUGAAGUACUCUGUGCUACUUGUGUUGUACCCUUCAGUGCUCCUGAUCUCUUACAGACCAAUGUUUUAAAAUGGUUUCUGUGACUUCACAGUUCUUUUUAUUGAGCUUUAUUUUUCUUAGGUAUGAUGGCUGUAAGUGACCUUGAAAUUGACUUGUAGUUAAUCCUUCCUCAAUGUUUAGGAUGGAGUAGUUGCUAAAAUAGCUGAGAAAAUAGAUGAGUUUUUAUCUACUGGACAGCUUCACAAAUUGGAAAAGGUGUGUUUCUUUCCCUUAUGCUUUAUUUCUCAGUAGUUGUUUUACUUUGUACUUUGUGUAGUAGUCUGCUUGCUUUGUGCAGUUUCUGUUGCUUUCUGCGGAGAGAGUGAUGUCAAGCAGAAGAACGGUGGAGUCUGCAAAGUAAAAAGUGGGGAACAAGAAGCUUAGGCAAAGCCUCAGAACUGUCUACUUACGAAAAUAUUUUAGAUUGUAUAAUUGGCAUGUGAAUGUCUUCUGUGAGAAAUGGAAUUCCGACUCUGGAAGGCUGCAGAACUGACUUUUAACCAUGCUGUUUACCUUAGCAUGGGCAGUUAAGACAGUUAAUUCACUGGAAUGGUACGUAUGACACUGUCCUAAUGCACAAUAUUUCUGUUAGUACUGUUUUGUUCUGAUUUACAGUAGGUCUCCAAAGCAGAAUCUGACUAAGUUGUUUUAUAAGCUUUCUUUAUUUAGUGAAAUGGAGUAAAGAAGAGUUUGUUCACAUUACUAUCUUUUUGCAGAUUCGACAAGAUGAUACAAGUGCAUCCAUCAACUUCCUGACAUGAGUUACUGGUAUUGGGUAAAGCUUAGUUAUUAUUUGUUAGUGGUGGGGGGAAGUAGUUGUCAAAGUUGUAGAACUGCCAAUUACAGAUUCUGCAGUAGAGGAGUGGAAGUGGAAAGCUCCUGUGUGCAAGCAGAGAGGGGAAGGAGAGAGGGAGGUGAUCAAAAACUGAAUCAAAAGACUGAGAAAAGUAGAAUCAUGAAGGCAGAGUAGGAGCCUAUGAGAUUUACAGUGCAAAAUCUGAUUAGGGAGAGUAGUAUUUUUAUUAUGUUUGUAAAAGGAAAUCCAGAGCCCUGCCAACCCCUCAAAAACAGGUCUUUUCAGAAAGAUGAUAGCAGGAGAUCUAAUUCUCUCGAGGCCUGUUCUCGUUCCUAUUCUGUGCAUAGGGAAAUUUUGGCAAAAAAGAGCUCAGUUUACAGACAGGCACUUAACUUAGCAUGUGCAUAGCAGCAGAAGUCAAUAUCUUGAGUGAGAAGGACUGUGAUACUGCUUGCCAAGAACAGGGUUGGCUAAAUAUAGAACACUUGUGCUUAAAAUCAGAACAGAUUGGAAUGCUGUGGGGAAGAAGAGGGAAAAGCAAUUGUCACAGAGUUAUCUGAGUCUGUGACAAAGGGCAAAAAAAGCCCAGGAAAGCAAACAAAACAAAACAAAACAAAAAAAAAAAAAAAAAAAAAAAAAAGAGAGGGGAAAACAACCCUCCCUCUUUUCUUUCAGCUUAGCUAGCUAGCCCCGAGGCAGACCCUGCCCUCUGGGAGAGGGGGAGAGGAGGAGAGGGGGAUGGGUAGAAAGAUAGCAGAUAGGUCUAAAAAACAAAAACAAAACAAAACAACAACAACAAAAAAAACCUUCAACAAGUGGUUGCCUCCCGGUAACGGGAAGGAACGUUAAUUUACUAAAUUUAACCAAAUUGAACGAAAUGAGAGACAAGAGCAUCCAAAGUAUGAGAUAGUAGAUGAAGUAGUCUUACUCUAGUAGACUGCAAAGAAAUAUAUGCUUUUCUCUAUCGCAAACCGAGAGUGAGCUGGGCCUGAGGGGGAAAGAAGCACGGGGUCCUGUCCGGAGCUCCACCCAUCUUCCUCUUCGCGCCUCCAGGAGUCCUCCAGGAAUGCCGCCCCUCCAAUCAGAAUACUUGAAAUGCCCUUAAGAGGCAGUAAAUGGAACCAGAACAUGAACUCUUUUACUCCCGCUGGUUCACACGAUGUUCUGAUGUGGAAUACCGACAGUAAAAAAUCACAAAACCACAACAUUCCACCCCUUAUUCCAGAUCACCACAUCACGCUUAACAAAUACCUAUAUACAAACAAAGAAAUAAUUAACAUGCGUUACAUAUGCA